rnacentral:rRNA from 1 species
UACGGAGGAUGCGAGCGUUAUCCGGAUUUAUUGGGUUUAAAGGGUGCGCAGGCGGAGGUGCAAGUCAGCGGUCAAAUUGCGGGGCUCAACCCCGUACUGCCGUUGAAACUGCAUCCCUUGAGUGCGCGAGAAGUAUGCGGAAUGCGUGGUGUAGCGGUGAAAUGCAUAGAUAUCACGCAGAACUCCGAUUGCGAAGGCAGCAUACCGGCGCGCAACUGACGCUCAUGCACGAAAGCGUGGGUAUC